GAUGAACGCUAGCGACAGGCCUAACACAUGCAAGUCGAGGGGCAGCACAAAGUAGCAAUACUGGGUGGCGACCGGCGCACGGGUGAGUAACACGUAUGCAACCUGCCUGUAAGAGGGGGAUAACCCGUUGAAAGACGGACUAAUACCGCAUAAAACUGUAAAUUCGCAUGGAUUAACAGUUAAACAUUUAUGGCUUACAGAUGGGCAUGCGCAUGAUUAGCUAGUUGGUGAGGUAACGGCUCACCAAGGCAACGAUCAUUAGGGGUUCUGAGAGGAAGGUCCCCCACACUGGUACUGAGACACGGACCAGACUCCUACGGGAGGCAGCAGUGAGGAAUAUUGGUCAAUGGGCGCGAGCCUGAACCAGCCAAGUCGCGUGAAGGAUGAAGGUUUUAUGAAUUGUAAACUUCUUUUGCAGGGGAAUAAAGUGCGGUACGUGUACCGUUUUGUAUGUACUCUGCGAAUAAGGAUCGGCUAACUCCGUGCCAGCAGCCGCGGUAAA
rnacentral:rRNA from 1 species